CUUGAGGGGAUGCACCAGAAGCAAGGAAGUAACUGUUGACAAAGUGAGACGGGCCACAAAGUAGAGCUUUUCUUGACAUCUGAUGGCAGCACAAUAGUAAGCUGCACCGCUUCUGUGGACAUUGCAGAUGAACACAUAAAACCUCUCCCUCAACCAGAUCCUGUACGUGACAAUGAAGAAACACAUGCUCAAGUGCUGAAAAAUAGAUUAGCAAAAAAAAGAAGUUUGACAUAACCCAAGACAACAUGUUCGUUAAAUUUCAUAGAUGCAAAAGAGAGAAUGCUUCUGUUGCAAAACAUAGAAGUCUUCUGCAAGCAGCUGCCACGCCCAUAUCUCAGAGCCCUAGUGAGUUGUAGAGAAGUUUCAAGAGUUAGAGUAUUUCCUCUGUACAGUAACUAAAAUAAUAAAAGACCACAAUUUUUAUUCAUAAAA
ensembl:lncRNA novel transcript